rnacentral:rRNA from 1 species
GAUGAACGCUGGCGGCGUGCCUAAUACAUGCAAGUCGAGCGAACAGACGAGGAGCUUGCUCCUCUGACGUUAGCGGCGGACGGGUGAGUAACACGUGGAUAACCUACCUAUAAGACUGGGAUAACUUCGGGAAACCGGAGCUAAUACCGGAUAAUAUAUUGAACCGCAUGGUUCAAUAGUGAAAGACGGUUUUGCUGUCACUUAUAGAUGGAUCCGCGCCGCAUUAGCUAGUUGGUAAGGUAACGGCUUACCAAGGCAACGAUGCGUAGCCGACCUGAGAGGGUGAGGGCCCCCACUGGAGGAGACCCCGGCCACACACACAAGGGGGGGAAGGGGGGGGGGAUUCUUGGGGAGGGGGCAAAGGCCUGAGGGAACACCGCCGCGUGAGAUAUAAGGGUCUGCGGUUCGAAAAAUUUUUUUAUGGGGAAAAAAAAAUUGUGUAAGUAACUAUACACUUCUUGAGGCACCUAAAUAGAAGGCCCAGGACAAACUAGGUC